UUUUUUUUUUUUUUUUUUUUUGCAGAAUUCAGAUUUGAUUUGUAGAGCCCCCUCCGAAAGCAUUACAUAAAUAAAUUUUUUUUUUUUUUAGAAAAGUUCAACCAAUAAAGGGUUAUUGGUCGAAUUACAUAAUCAAAACGUCAGUUUCUUUUUUUUUUGUUAUCUUUUUCCAAGCAAAUCAGUUCCAUCUGUGGAUUGGCAUUUGGCAUGCUGAGCAUUGAGCACUAUGAAUCGCCCAAAAGAAGGACGGCGCGCGCUUCAGAAAAAAGGAAUGCCGCGUAGGUGAUACAAAGAACUUUGACAAGAUCUGCUGCAGAUUCCGAUUUUAAAAUUGAGGUCCGUUCGAAAACGACGGGAUGAGCGUCCCCGUGCCUGGACGCGAGCCAGGUUUUUAUUCUUUUAUUCUUUUUUUUAAAAAAAAAAUUAUUUGAGAUAAAUUUUUUUUAAAAAAAACACACUACUGUGUCACUUUUUAAAUAUAAUGUUCGUGAAAUUAAAAAAUAUAUUGAUGAUACAAAUAAAUAAAUUUUUACAAAUUGUGCGAAGAAGUUAUUUACAGUGUGAGUGAGCUUUUUUAUUUGGUUAAAUCCGGUAAAAAAAAAAAGCGCACAUUGAAUUCGAUUGUCAAGAUCUCACUUAAUUAUAUUCACGAACUAAUUUUCAAGUGCAAUCUUUUUGUUAAUUUUUCUAAUAUUGUCAUUAUUGCCUUUUAAUCCCAGGACUUUGGAUUAAAUCAUUCAUGCGAGUUAUUUUUUAAAAAACAUAGGAGGCGUCGUAGGAUUUAAGGUUAUUUUUUUCUUGGCGCAAAAUAGAAGUAAAAGCUUGCAUGAUGUGCAUGCACGAGGCGAGCAUAAGAAACUCAAAAAAAAAAAAAAGAAGUUCGUGGGGUCGCAUCGCAUAGGGCCCCGAAGGAUGGUUGGAUCACAAAUGUGGAGUGGACUUGCUACAUUCUUCAUUCCAGCAAUUGAACUUAGAUUUGAAUUUAAAGGCAGGCAGAGCCAGAGACAGCUCCCCACCUGUGCGGUCGGUGGGGCACGUGACUGCAAUUCUUGACUCGUGAUAGCGAAGACAAUUGAAAAGUCGUUAUAGAUGUCUCAACAUCCUAGAUUUCAUCCAUCAGGUCUUGCGUUAAAAGUUUUACUACGAGAGAAAGAGCCUGACCAUGGGUUGGCAAUUAUUUUUAGGACAGCUUAGUUUGGCUACCAGAUUAGCGCUGCUAUUUGGAGGUUGAACGAGUCACCGCCAUGCCAAUGAAGCAUGCAAGUGAAACAAUCCCAUCAACACACAGAAUUUUUCGAGAAACUUCUGUGAUGUUGCUUUGACAUUGACGUACUGUGAUAUAUAUAGUUUUCUGAUGAGGGUGUGUUUGGAUUGCCUUUGAAAAAUUGUUACGUUUUUUAUUUAAUAUAUUUUUUUAUUUCAUAUUUAUUAAAUUGUUAUAAUAAUCUUUUUAUAAAAAAGUCCACAAAAAUACAAUUCAAACAAAGCUACUUAAAGAGACUGGAUGGAAAAUUGUUGUCUAAAGGUACUAUUUUAUAUAUCACAAUAUGUGAACUUUGGUCGCUAUAAAUAAAAAAUACAGUAUAUGUUGAUUAGUACAUUUGAAUUGUAUCUAUUUUAUUAUUUAUUAACAAUUAUUAUUCUAUUUUAUUCUUAUGCACUUCACUCGUCUAACUUUACUUUUUCUAUACACUGACACUUGAACCCAUCUGACAUUCAUAUCGUAUGAAUAUUACGCCACCAAGCUCAUGCGUAGCGUCAAACCAACUACUUUGGCUAAUAUUCAAUGGUUUUGAUUGGCUGAAUUUCUUGCGGACAAAAAAUAUAAAUUCCAGAAAAUACAAGGGUUCUUCGGACUACUAACAAAGCCAAUCUAAGUAUAUUAAUUUUGGAUAACAAAACAAUAUUAGUGUUCUUGAUAACACAACGGAUAGACAAAAUUUGCCAAUGAAUCCUAGUCAGGAAAUAUUUUUUUCUCAAAAAAUACCCUUCAUGGAGGGAAAAAGCCCGCUCUUGCUAGUGUAUUUUUGUCUCUUCAUUUUUUUUGCUUCAGUCUUGCAUGUUUCACUUCUAAUUCUUCAUACUCCCUUUGUAAAUAUUUUAGCUUCUUUUUUUUUUUUUCAGAAUUCUUGAUUAUAGUAUAGCAUAAAUUUCUCUUCCAUUGUCUCAAAGUUCGAGGUCUAUCCACUUAAAAUAACCACGUGUUUAAUGAUUCCAUAACAAAGCAAAGCAUAAAUUUUUUAAAAUUAUUUUAUCUAAAAGUUAAAAAAGACAUUAAUUUAUCAUACAAAUCAUACCUUAUAAUUUGAACAUCCAAGAAAUUUCUUGGUGUCCAUGGCCUUCUUAAGGUGCUAAUUGACCGCAUCCACAAGUUUCUUAAUUUGGUUCUGAUAGAUGCUAUGACGAAUAACAUCUAAAAGAAACACAACAAAAUGAAUUUGAAAACAUCUGGGACUUUUUUCCCCCUUUUUUGCUGCAAAUAUAUAAGACUUGAAAGUUUAAAAGCUUUUUUUGUUGAAUGAUGAAAUUAUAACAGAAAUAUUUUUGGUCUUGGGAGGAGACUUUUCUUUAUAUACAAUAGAUAGGGGCAUUUUCGUCAAAAAAAUUGAACAUUUUAAAUGGGUCAUUUUCAUCUACCAUGAUAUUUUAACGGGUCGUUUGCUGAGCUGGAUUGUAUAGGAUAAAAGUGCCAAAAAAUACUACUCCCUAUAAGGGGAUUUUAAGGGUAUUUUUCGUGAUUUUCCCUAUAAUUUGUAGCGUUCGUAAAAUACUUGCUACUUGUAUUAUCCGUAUCUUUAUCCUUAUACCAUCACAAGCGCUAUUAGUAAUUACUGCUCUCAAGUCUUCUCCGGCCCUGACAACCGCCGGAAACUUGACGGAAACAAUUUGAAUCUAUUUCUAGGGCCUUGGUUACCUCCGAAAUCUUCCUGAAGACAUCGGAUACAAAUUCUUACAGCAUUAUACUUCUUCGUUUUCCCAGGUACGCUCCCCCCCCCCCCUUUCCUCCUGUCUCUCAUAAAAGUAGUUAUUUGAACAAUGCAUUUCUUCUGUUUGGAGUGGUUUCGUCAUUAAAUUCUGCAAUUAAUUAUGAUUUUCCCUUUUUCCCCUGCACCUCCAUUUGGAACGUAAGAGUUGUUAGCAUUGCCAAAAAUUCACGCUUCCAUGUCGGUGAUUUUAAUUGCGCCAAAUUUCAUAUUGUUUUCAGGUUAUGAGUAACUGCAAUACUAGGUUGCUUAGCCUAAAAUCACGCUCGUCAUGAUACCCCUUUGUUGUACUUAAUACAUUUUCUAAUAGCAUCUAUUGCCCGUCAAAGAACGUCCCUUUCAAUAUGCUGUACUACUAAUUGAAAAAGAAAAUGUCAACAGUAGAACUUCUCAAGUACUGUUAAGCUCAUUCGUUUAGCUAUAUGCCUGGUUUUCUAUUAACUAAAAAUUGCUUAGGGGAGAGGAAGGGGAAGAAGCCUGGAGGAAUGGGGGCAUACUUUUUCUGAUCGUCAUUUUGAACUUGUUCACUUUGCAUUUUCAUAAAAGUUAAUGCAGCUGAACUUGUUGAUAUCAAACACACGACCAUCCCGUAAAUACAGUGUAAAGUAAUGUCCAUCUGUUUAAUAGCGCAAGACUGAUUUCUUUUGUUUGGGCGGUUAUUUUUUCAAUAGCGUUUUUUUUAUUGAUUCAGUGCCCAUCUUGAAUCAGUUUCAUCAAUAUGUCUAUCGAACAAAAAAGUUUCAUCAAUAAAACGACUUGCUUAUUCAAGAUCGCAGUUCUUUUUGAUAGGUUACUUAUUUUUUGUUGCUUACACGGCUUUUGGUGUUAGAUAACAGUAAGAAUAGUGUGGGAUUUAAAUAAGGCUAAGGGCAUUGGUUAAAGGUUUAAGUCAUGAACUUUUUCUGCAGCAAGUUGGACGUUGAACUUUUCUCCAAUUAUGUCAUUCAAGGAGUCGGCAUGCAAAUUAUGAUUUGUACUAAUUGGUCGUUAUGCUUUUCUCCAUUGUUUUUGUGUUUGGUGAUAUCUACUCACCGAAGUUUGUGUUGGAUGUUCCUUUCCUGAGUAUCAUACAUGGAUUGUUGCUCUGGUGAACUGUGGAGAUCACCAACUCAGACAGAUUUGAUAUCUUUUUAGACGGUUAAAGAUUUGAAAUUCCUAUUAUUAUUUGUUUUUAUUUCCUCAUCAUGUUGACCCCAUUUGACUUUUUGCACCAUUAAAGAAGCAGUACUUCAUUAUCAUUUGAUUAAUUUCCAUUGAUUGGUUUCCAAUUCAGUUUUUUAAACUUUACAACCUCAAAUUCAGUGAAGCUGUUAGGAGUUCUUGUCACAAACUCUAUACCUUGACUAAUGCAUGAAGUCUCUUCUAGAAACAGGUAAAAGAAAUGCUUUACACCAUUUGAAAUAUUCCAAAAGGGGAUUAAAAUAAAUGAUGAGUGCAUAUCAUAAGUCAACUAGUAAUGUUUUGGCUUGUCAAAGGAUUGGAAUUAUCCUUGCUGAACCGUGGGAGACAUUACUUGAUAUGCCUACCACUGUACUACCUUAUUAGUAAUUCUAGCCCUGAUUUCCAGGGAAGAAGUACCUUUUUUGAGGGCCUUCUUUUCUUCCUUUGGUAAAUCUGAAAGAUUCCUGAUGUACUGUGUCACUACUUUGUCUUUACAUCUUUGAAUUUACUUUCCCCCCAGUGUAUCAAUGCGAUGAGUCUUCUUCUCCUUCUCCUUUUUUUGUGGCCCCACUCUUAGAUGAAGAUUGCACUUAAAAAAAAAAAUAAAAAUUGCACAGGCUAUUUGACAUAAUUUUGGGAUGAAUUAGUCUGAAUUUGGUGUAUUAUGCGAACUAGAGUAAAGAAGACCUGUUUCUAACUUUGUGCCUUAUAUCAAAAUGUCAUAGAAUUGCUGAAUUUUAUCUAAAGCAGUCGCUCAAGGUGGCUUUGGAGCUUCAAGAAAUGAUAAUUAGAUUCUUGGCUUGACAUAUUAGAUGACAGUCCAAAGAUGGAGUUCUUUUCCCAUUAAGCUGAAAAUUGGAUAGAGGAAGUUAGAGAGAUCUUGAAUUGCUCGUGGACUCCUUGUACUUCUACUGUGGUUUGGGUUUGAUGGUUGGUUUUGGUAAUGCGAACAUGUUAUCUUUAGCUGCUUUUUCCUAAUUUCUCUAGUAUCUCCAUGUAACUUAAGGAACAAAAAAAAGCAUAUGAAUCCUCGCAAUCACUGAUGUACUGGUUCCUUUGUUAUCAAUCUCAGCAGAUAAACUAAACACAAUAGAAACGUAUCAAUCCCUUGCUGGUUUCUGAUUUCUAGUUUCUAGUUGAUUUGCAUUGGAGUAUUUGGUAGAUUAAAUAAGUGCUAAAUUCGUCUGAAGAGCUCUUUUCCCUGUUGAUGUUCCUCUGUUGUAGAUGGUGUUGAUCUUUUAGUAUUACUGCGCUUCUUUUGGGACACCUUCAGAAUUUAGAGUCUGAUGUACAUCUUUAUGGCUUAGGCACAAACCAUAUUAAGCAUAACGUCACAGCAUAAGUCUAAGUGCUUUUCUCUUGCUUAUAAAGCAUAAUUUUACAUGUCCACACAUUAAGUAGGAUUCUGGAACCCAACCCAGAGAGGUUUAUUUUAAGCGUUAACUUGUAACACCUGACUGCCACGCACUUCUACAGCACUAGGAUAUGGUAGUUAACAUAGGCCAAUUUUGAUUGCGAGUAUGUGCUUCAACUCGCCCAAUUUUCCAUGUUUGCAAAUUGCAGGUGAUUGAUGGACAAAAAUUACAGCUUUCCAGGGGUUUGGUUUGAGUACGUACAUUCAGAAGCUGUUGAUGACAGAGAUUGUUGAUGACAUCACUUGAAAAUCCAGUACUAGAAUGAUGCCUUGUUCUUGCCUCUGCUUGAUUUAACUUCCUCUAUUGAGCUGAUGUACCUCUUUAAAAGCUGUAGCUAUUUUAUCACACAAUUAAAUCAACAAAGGGGCCAACUUCCUCAUAUGAAAUGAGUGGAGUUCGUGGAAUAUUGUUCCAAACUUGUUGAAAGAAGCUUCAUAGUUUAUCGCAAGAUGAUCUCAAUAAAAGUUUGAAGCAGAGGGUUCCUGAGAUAGAGAAGGAAAAAAGAUGGAUGCCCUGAAAGAAUUAAUUUUUCAUUGAUGUUUCUGAAUCAAGAUCAUCUUUUGAUGCUGCCAGCGUGACGAGUGACCCUCACUGCCGCCGGAGCUGCUCCCUUUGCAAAGCUUCUGAUGAGUCCGAGUUUCAAUAGAUGAUUGAGCAUGGUCAAGGAGCUGCCGGGAUACUCGCUUCUAAGAUGUGCUCGCAGAGGACUGCUGAACCAUUUUAGUAAAAAGCUUUUCCAUCGAAAUGAGGACUGCUGAACCAUUGCUUUGGGAAGAAACUAUGGACUUCAAAGAUGCGCUCGCAGAGGUUGUACAACUAGUACUCGAGUUGAAGAAUGUGAGAGUCACGGAUAUGAAUAGCUUCCCCUAGCAGGGAAGAAAGGUAUGUUCUAGUCCCAGGUUAGAUGAACUUGCAAAUGUUACCGGAGGCGGCCUUCCUAACUGUAUACAUCUGGCAUGAUUGAACUAGUUGCUAAGAAGGCUAAUCUCUCAUAUGUUAAAAGAAAAGAUCGACAGAAUGUUUUUUCUAAUUUACCCCAUAUGUUCAUUGCAAUGACCGUUCAGAAACACGAAAUGCAUUUUCUGUGAGCUGGCAAAUGCACGAAAGAAAAGCGAUUGAUGAAUCUUCAGUUGGGCAUUUAAUAACUUGUGUAAUGGAGCAUUGUGCUCUAACAUAGAGUGAAUUCUUGAAACUGGUUACAGAGAGGAAAGAAAGAAAUGAGGAUAGAAACUAGCAAUUGCCUUGAUACAGACACAAAUUUCUAUUCAACAACAUGGGUGCUUCACCCGGAGAUUCAACCCAAUCUAACUUGAGUAAAUCUAAGUUAUAUAUUCUUCUAGUUACUGCUAUCACUAUGGUGGUUGUUAGUGUGGAUGGUGGCAUUGAUGUUAUUACUGCUGUGAUGGUGGUGGUUAUUGUUCCCAACUCUCCUACUACUACUGGUCUUGAGCUGUGAGAGCUCCAAUUGCGUUUUCAUGAAGAACUGCAUUCUCUGCAAUUCCAGCUCUUUGGCAAACUUCAUCCUCUGCUUUUCCAUGUCCACCAGCUGCUGCAGCUUCGAGCUCUCAGCUUGCUCGUAAGCUUCCCCAAAUUUAAGUAUAGCUCGAGUCAGCUCCCUCACUGAAUUCCCCCAAUUCUUCCCCACAACAACACUUGCUUUAUCUGCACCUCCCUCUCUCCCCCUGUUCGUUCCAGGCCCAGCAGGCUUUACUCCUCCUCCCAAAUUCAUCAGCUCCCGCUGAUUCCUCGGCCUCUUCCUUUCGUACGUUGCAGGUGGAAAAUCAUCAGCCGAGUCAGGCGAACCAUCGGGCUCGGACUCCUCAUCCGAAUCCACCGCAGGAGGAGGGGGAGGCCGUUUCCGGAACUGCUGCUUCUGCUUCUGAAGGUGCUGUUGUGGAAAUUUCUCUUGCUGCUGCCUCAGCUGAGGAGCUGAUCUAACUCCCAUCGGGAUUCCCAUAGGAACUACCCUUUGGCUUCCGGAGUAGGACGGCCCUGCCCCCGCGCCACCCCCGGAAGCCAGUACGGAGGAGUUAAGCUUAGCAGAAGGUCCAAUAAGCUGAUCAAGCCUCUCAAAGAAGGGCCACUUACUGGGGCCACCACCGGCGGCGAUCUUGGCCUUCUCCAGCUUGUACUUCUUCUUGACGGUAUCAAUCCGGUUCUUACACUGAAUAUCAGUUUUAGGGGCUUUGGUGUAGUCUUCGCGGCUGCUGACGAUAUCAGCGACAUCCUUCCAGUGCUUCUGCUUAAGAUUCCCCCGGCUGAGCUCUAGAUACCUUUCUCCCCAGGCGUCAAUUAGCACCCCGGUGGCCCCUUCGCUCCAGCAAUCCUCCCUCCCACCACCUCCACUAUUUCCAGUAGGCUUCGUCUGCUGCUGAUGUUGUUGUAUGGGUAACGCCAGAGUUAGCGUGUUCUGAGAAGGCGGAACAGCAGCCACCGUCACCGUUAUCCUGCCGUUGGGACGCGGUGACACCGGAGAUCCGGUACCUCCCGAUGGAUGUGACUGAGUUUCUUCGUCGUCUUCCAUGCCGGAGGUCGAAAUCUCGCAGCGAUCUAGAGGGAGAGAGAGAGAGAGAGAGAGAGAGAGUGUGUGUGUGUGUGUGGGCGAAGGCGUCAGAGGGAGGGGAACAAGUGCGUGACUGUGCGAGAGAGAGAGAGAGAGAGAAGGGAAAGGAGAAAGAGGGGGUUUGGUUAUUUAGGGCUUAUUGUAGGUUUUAGAGAGAGGUUGACCGGCGGAAAUUAAUGACCGGGGAGGGGGGACGUUGUUUUAAGGCUGACGACUUUGCAACGGAUGUAGGAGUAGGUUAAAAAUUGCAGGAAAAGAGACCGGGAACGGGGGAAGCAAAAAAAUUGCAAGCACGCAAAUUGGGCUUCUAUUUUUUUUUUUUAAAGUGUUUUGGGAUUUUAUCGGUUGACGGAAAAGAACGAGUUGGAAGGGGAGGAGGGUGACGGCGUCGGUAAAAUGAAUGAAGGAAGGGGGUGGGACACGUGGAGGGAGAAAAAGGGGAUGGUCCGAAUACUUGUUCGGAUGUUAUUGGGUUGGUUACUGGGAGACCGGUCAUCGGCGUGAUGAAAUGAUGCCUCAUCAGUCUCCUCCACAGCCAGCCCCAUCAUAGUCGUACUAUUAUUACUACUACGACGACCACUAGAGCCCUUCGCCUCCUCUCUUAGUCUUGGCAACUACUACUGCCGGCUGGCUUGGUGGACCUUUUCCCCUGUUUUUGUCUGCUUAUCUCUAUCCUCCCUCUGCCAUUUCUGAUUUUUUCCCCUUUUUUCCUUUCUUUUUCUUUUUUCUGAAGGCAGGCACGGCGUUAAUCGGUUGCAGGCACUUAAGCACUACUACUACUACUACUAAUACGCUUCUCUUUUUCUUUCACCAACUGGACUUUGCUUCUUCAUCUUUGUGUCCGUUUUCAGGAGAGAGUUGUUCUUGGUUGGUGGAAGCUGUCUGUGGAGAAUACUUGGAAGCCAAAGGGCUCUCUCUCUCUCUCUCUCUAUACAAGACUAGAACAACUACAAAUGGUAAAAUCCCGGCAACUGAUGAUACCAGCGGCCAUUCCGAUGAAUUCGAUUAAUCAAUCAAGGGUCUGUAGGGAAAAGUGGAUAGGUUCGCUACAUCAGCUUUCAUUGAGCACCAAAAUCUAAAUGCAAGCCAAUUCAAUGCUAGUACCAGACUCCUCUCGCUAUAAAUCCUUACCAUCUACUCACGUACCACUAUUUGCUUACUAGCAAUUAUUAUUAUUAUUACUACUAUAUAUUUUUGGCCUAAGGACACCUUAAUUUCACUCAAAUUCACGUGCUCGAGUAUCAUAAUAAAUUCACACAUUAUAUGAUUCUUCAAAAAAAUUCAGACGGGUGCGUAGUGUAUUCGUUUGGUUCGGUGGUGGUUUUGUCCCCAUCAGUUCUCCGUAGGUUUAGUUGAGCCUCCCUCUAGUUAGAUUAGGAUAGAAUAGGAGUAUGGAUGAUAAUUGAUUAAAAAAAAAAAAAAAAACCUGCCAAGAAACAAUUGAGGAGAAAAUUAUUGGCCGGACUCGAACCCUCUCACCGUUCUGUCUAAACGGAGCUUAACGGCUUACCUGGCGGCAACGGCCCCGGUGCUCUGCUACCGCGUGUGCUGAUGUUGUAGCAUGGCUUGGUACCACAAAUUGGUGAGCAAAAAUUGGGGACGAUAAUUAAUCUCGCUUACACGUGUUGUUGACGAUAGUGAAUUUGGAUACAUAAACAUUACUUAGAAUUUAAAUUUUACCAUGCAACGUCUAUCCAAUUUUGCUAGCAGCGUAUAAAAUAUUAAUCUUUAAUAUUUUUUAUUGAGAAAAAUAAAAAGAAGCCAGUGUAAACUCUUUCUUCUUCUUCUUCUUUUUUCGCGCAUUCCUUGGGAUAAAAAUAGUAAAGCAAUCAAUUCGACAUUGUGAAAAUGCAAGUUGGUUUAAGACUGAACAAUUCUCGAAUGGGGUUUGAUGAUGAAGUGCAAGCUGUCGAAGGGCCAAACGAUUCAAGUAUCAACAUUCCGUUCAAUAUUAAUUUGGACCUCACAAAUACAUAGAAGGAGAUUGAGCAUUGCAUGUUGCUCCAAGCUGAAGAAGAAGGGACUUAAUAGAUCCGCCCCAUAGAUUGGGCCGCAGCGCGCUUCCGUGAAGCGUUUCAUUUCAAUUUUCUUAGUUCAAUCUCUGCCCACAAUCCCUUCACGGAUUCGAGUCAAAUAACUAAGGUUUUUUCUCUCUAAUUGGCGUUCUAUUAAUUAGGAUAUUUUAUUUAGUUACUUAAUUGUUGGUUAUUAGAAAUAAAUGGCUAGCUGUAUAAGUUACUUGGACCACUAGAUUAGUAAUUCUAAUGGAAUAAAUGAUGUAAUUCAUGUUUGAUUCGAAUUUAGACUAGUUUAGAUAUCUUGAUUAUAAAUAACUUUACUCUAACCUUGUAAUAGUGGUUCGUUAGACAAAUUUCGGCAAAUAAUGAGAGCUUUCUCUUGGUUUUAUUGAAAACUUUUCUCCAAUACUUUAGAAUUAAUUUUAAGCAUUUAAAUCAACAUGUUCGCAAAUGCGAAAAUUAGAAAGGUAUUUAGUACAAACUUGAGUAUCAACAUCGAGAUUUGAACUUGUGAAAUCGGAGUUUCGUUUUCAGUGGCCGGAGGAGGGUUCGUGUUAGGGUUGGAGCGAAAUCAAUUGAUUUUUUUUUCUAAAAAGUGCAUUUGUAAAAUGGGAUGCUGAUAUUAGCGGUGGUCGCACAGAGCGACUGUCUGAAGCCGAAGGGGAUGAAAACGUGGCGGUGCUGGCUUUUGGGGAUCAGACGAUGGCGAUGAUGAUGUCAGCAGGAGUCCAGAAACAAAAGAGGGCGGACACCUUCUCACGGGGUGUCCCAAUCAUCAGCUAGUAAAAUGGAUAAAUCAAAGAAGCAGUGGCGUGGAUGUGUUGGUGGCUUAGCAGACGUUCAUUUUUAAAGGUAGUACUGCAUUCCUCAGGUGAGAGUAAUGGGCUCAUGGCUUUGGGCUUCAAGUUUAAAAGCCCUUGCAAAAGCUGAGAGAAAUCCAAGAGUCUUCCCCACCAUUUCCACUCCGAUUGUUCUAACAUCACAAAGAACAGGGUAGUUUGAUUUCAUAUGCAAGUACAACGGCUCUAGUACGUUUUCUGGGUCCGGAAGAAAUUCAUUCAUGUUCAGCCUUAACGUACGUUAAUAUUUGCAAUUAAACCUUCUCUCUCUUUUUUUUUUUUUAACUCAGAAUAUACCUCGAUUCGAACUCUUAGGAUACGAGCCGGCACAUCAAACCGGUGAAAUGUGCCACAGCCCCACGCAGCGAUUCCAGACGAGUCACGGGAGUUCAAAUCCAAGAUAACAUUCGAACCCGUGACCACAAGGAUCUUUAAGACCCGCUUACCGCUGAAUUGUUCAGCCACGUGAGAGCAAUUAAACCUUCUUCGUUGACCGAAGCUGUGUGUAUGUUUGCUUCGUGUUACUGGAAGGCAUACAGCUUUCUUCCACGGCCUCAUUGGCAAAAAUGUUUAGGAUCCCAGUGACAAAGACAGGACAGGACAUGCAUGCGUGCGUCACGCUUUAAUUUCUUCGUGAUAUAACUCUCACUUUCAGUGUUGAAAGUAGCUAUAUAUAGAACAAAUUUUUAUGAAUCCGACGACGCGUAACAUGUAAGUGCAGUGAUUUGAUCCUUACAUUUUCUUUUGCCGAUCGCUAAAGAGCAGACAUUCUCUGGUGACGGCCAGGUCAAAUUUAAUACGUACGCAUCAAUCUAGCAAAGUUAUUGAUGAUAACUUUGACAAAUCUAAAUGAUAGAAGAAGUUUAACCAUUGCAUUUCGAGACUCUCUCUCGAUCGAAGAUAUUGCAAUUGCAGCAGCUGCCAUCACCAGAAAGUGAAUAAGCUCAGCUUGGGUCGAACCUUAAUUCUUUUAAAAUUGGGAAGCUUUCCAUUUUUUUUUCUUUUAUUUUGAUUCAACCUAAAUAUCGGGUGACAUCAAAAUAUGCUCGUCUCUAGAUCGAUAACACCCAUCCAAAGUGUUUGUAAAACAGGCAGAUAGCUGCAUCCGUAUCAUCCGGUGCAGAAAUUUCAUUGAUUAGCGAGCACAACUCAAACAAGAUACAUGCGUAACUAGAGCCAUGCUCUAUGUACAGAAAAGUCAACAAAAACACUAGUAGAAAACCAACCAACCGGUCCAACCCCCUCGCUCUAACCAUGCUGCUGUCCUAUAUUUACAAUCAUAUAUACACACACACACACCAUGAGAUAGAGAUAUGAUAAAAGAAACUUUUGGUUUA
rnacentral:lncRNA from 1 species